rnacentral:rRNA from 1 species
GGACUACUGGGGUAUCUAAUCCCGUUCGCUCCCCUAGCUUUCGCACCUCAGCGUCAGAUACGAGCCAGGACCUUGCCUUCGCCAGUGGUGUUCUUCCGGAUCUCUACGCAUUUCACCGCUCCACCCGGAGUUCCAGGUCCCUCUCUCGCUCUCCAGUCGUGCCGUCUUUGCGACGCUUGGGCAGUUAAGCCGCCCACUGUCCCCGCAAACUGACACAACCGCCUGCGUGCCCUUUACGCCCAGUAACUCCGGACAACGCUUGCCCCCUACGUAUUACCGCGGCUGCUGGCAC